UGGCUGAGCAGUAAAGCACUUGGCUUCCUAACCAGGGUCCCAGGUUCAAAUCCUGG
rnacentral:tRNA from 1 species